GUUUUGUAUGCUUGAGUUAGUCUUCCACUUGUAGUCAUCCAGGAUGAGGAUUCGCUUCGGGACUAUCAAUUGUUCUGGAGUGUAUGACACAUCCUAGGUGUAGGCUCGGAUCGUAACAUGUACGAAAUAUAAACUCAUAUACCUUCAAAUAAUAUUUGAUCAUUUUGUUCUAAAUAGGUUACGUACCACAAAUACAUGAUUACGUAAGUGAUGAUAAGUGCAUACGACUACUCCAUGGGUAUAAACAUUAUAGACAAAGACCAACAAAUGUCUAGUUUGUAAUAUUUUGCUAUCUCGUUCACGUUCUUGAGUCCUAUAUCAUCAAUAAACUCUCUUCAUAAAUAAUCGAAUUUGAAGAACACGGAUAUGUUUGUUAGAAAAAGAAGACGGCAUACAAGUAUCACUAAAAUUAUCCUUACAACACUCAUAUAACUCUAAGAGGUGCAAAUAUCAAUUAGAA
rnacentral:misc_RNA from 1 species